GCUGACACAUCCCAGCCAAUCUCCAGCAGACCCUCCCUCCCAGACCCUCCUACUUCCUGGACAGCAUCCAUGUUGAAGCUGCCUUCAACAUGGAUGCUGUCCAGGAGGUGGGAGGGUCUGGGAGGGAGGGUCUGCUGGAGAUUGGCAGGGAUGUGUCAG